rnacentral:rRNA from 1 species
ACAGACAGCCAGGAUGUUGGCUUAGAAGCAGCCAUCAUUUAAAGAAAGCGUAAUAGCUCACUGGUCGAGUCGGCCUGCGCGGAAGAUGUAACGGGGCUAAACCAUGCACCGAAGCUGCGGCAGCGACACUAUGUGUUGUUGGGUAGGGGAGCGUUCUGUAAGCCGUUGAAGGUGUGCUGUGAGGCAUGCUGGAGGUAUCAGAAGUGCGAAUGCUGACAUAAGUAACGAUAAAGCGGGUGAAAAGCCCGCUCGCCGGAAGACCAAGGGUUCCUGUCCAACGUUAAUCGGGGCAGGGUGAGUCGACCCCUAAGGCGAGGCCGAAAGGCGUAGUCGAUGGGAAACAGGUUAAUAUUCCUGUACUUGGUGUUACUGCGAAGGGGGGACGGAGAAGGCUAUGUCAGCCGGGCGACGGUUGUCCCGGUUUAAGCAUGUAGGCGGAGGUUCCAGGUAAAUCCGGUACCUUAUUAACGCUGAGGUGUGAUGACGAGGCACUACGGUGCUGAAGUGAUAAAUGCCCUGCUUCCAGGAAAAGCCUCUAAGCAUCAGGUAACACGAAAUCGUACCCCAAACCGACACAGGUGGUCAGGUAGAGAAUACCAAGGCGCUUGAGAGAACUCGGGUGAAGGAACUAGGCAAAAUGGUGCCGUAACUUCGGGAGAAGGCACGCUGAUAUGUAGGUGAGGUCCCUGCGGACGGAGCUGAAAUCAGUCGAAGAUACCAGCUGGCUGCAACUGUUUAUUAAAAACACAGCACUGUGCAAACACGAAAGUGGACGUAUACGGUGUGACGCCUGCCCGGUGCCGGAAGGU